rnacentral:miRNA from 30 species
UAAUGCCCCUAAAAAUCCUUA